UGACACAAGUGCUCCUGGUAUUAGUUUCUGGAGGCAGUUUGUUUCUAGGCCUCCUCAUUAAGAAGCCUUGGAAGACUACCUAAGGCAAGACAUUUUGUCUCACCCAUGGAGUGUCUUUUGGAUGCCAGGUCCUAAAUAUGGCUGGGAUUACAAAGUCUCUCUGCAGAGAUUGCAAACAACAAUCCAAUACUGUAAAUGAUCAUCAGUAGCACCUGUGGAGAUCAUGAAGCUGAAACCAGGGCUUUAUCUCAGGCCAGUAAAGUAAGAAUCAUUUUGGUUGGCAUCCUGGCAUCAUAGGCAUCAUAAGCAGCCAAGUUUGAAA